CAGGUGGGGGGGCGGGGGUGGAAUUGCUGUGUUUACAGCAACUCUGUCCAAUCCUUUCAGGAACGUGUCUUGCUUUUCUAUUCUGAAUUAUCUAGCAUUAAAAAACCUCCUCUUUUUACAUCGAAACCUCUCAUUCAGUUGGCAUGCCUUUGGCUGUAGCGAGAGAGGUGAUGAUCCAGCCUUAUCCUGUUCUCUCCACAGUGCUCCACGGCGGCUGCCAGUGAGCCCUGUCCCUCUCCUGCAGAUCUGAGAAGUGCUCCAUUGUCACCUCAAUUCUUGAGCUUAUCUGGGUAUCUCCAGCGCACCCUGUUUAUGUCUUCUUCUGUGCCCGGGGCUACUCUGAAAGUUGUCCUGCACCUGAGUGUCCGGCGGCCCUGCCUGAGACACCCCCUCCUUGUGGAGCAGCUUAACAAUUGCAUCAGCUUUCUCCUGUGCUGAUUCUUCAUGAGAACGUUGCCAAGGCGCUGUGGAGACACCGUUUCUCUAGUUGUGCAGCUGCAAGGUCACAGACAGAGAAACUCAAGUCGUAAAACAUGUUUUUCCUUCAAAAGGAAGAAAUGAUGUAAGGAAUGUCUCAAUUCAUUGAAUCACUGUCUUUGUUUCUCGCUUCUGUAACAUGCUUCCCCCUGCACCGAUCUCCCCCCACCCCGCGAAAUGCUUAAAAGGUAACUUAACUCUUUGUUCAGAGCUCAGUCCUUUGGAUGUUAACCCGACUGGGCUGGUGCACCUAAAUAAUAAAUAUCCUCCUCAACCC
ensembl:lncRNA novel transcript